UACAGAGACUGCAAGCGUUAUUCGGACUCACUGGGCGUAAAGGGUGCGCAGGCGGCCGUGUGUGUGAGGCGUGAAAGCCCGGGGCUUAACCCCGGAAUUGCACCUCAAACUACACGGCUAGAGCAUUGGAGAGGGUAGCAGAAUUCACGGUGUAGCAGUGAAAUGCGUAGAUAUCGUGAGGAAUACCAGAGGCGAAGGCGGCUACCUGGACAAUUGCUGACGCUCAGGCACGAAAGCGUGGGGAGCAAAAGGG
rnacentral:rRNA from 1 species